CAAAAAGUAGUUUAGCUUAGAAUACUAGCUUUGGGAGUUAGCGGUGGGGGUUGAAUUCCCUUCUUUUUGA
rnacentral:tRNA from 1 species